rnacentral:lncRNA from 1 species
CAAUGAACUCAAUCACCGUGACCGUGCACAAUUAAAAUAAACUCAGACAAAAACAUAAUACAAUGACUUCUGUUUGGUUUCCAGAAUCAUAUCUUGAUACCAUAUGCUUAAACUUUACAUGCUGGUAUGUACAGUAGCGAACUUGAAUGAACCUAAGAAUCGGCUUAAAAAUUUGUGUAUUUUUCCGUUGUGGUUAGUUCCCGCCUGAGCUUCGAGGGUUUUUGUCCGGCUACUCCAGUUUCCCUCAAUAAAAAUCACAAGAGCGUCAGGCUUUGCUUAUAGCCCGCACGCAGGGUUGAGCCUGGUACGAGUAAAAGCUGGGUACGGUCUAUGGUCUACAAGCAGAGUCUGGGCUUUCUGUGCAAAAACUAAUAUUUAUGUAAAAUACAAUCAACGUAAAAUAGUUAAUUAUGGUAUGCCCACCUAUGGUGUAGUUAGGUGUGUAAAAGUAGGUAGUACAAAUUUGUAUUUUCUCUUUUGUUAUAUAUAUGUUGAUAAAAAGAUACCAAAAA